rnacentral:rRNA from 1 species
GAUGAACGCUGGCGGCGUGCUUAAUACAUGCAAGUCGAACGGACAGACGCGGAGCUUGCUCCUCUGUCGUUAGCGGAGGACGGGUGAGAAACAUGUGGAUAGCCUACCUAUAAGACUGGGAUAAUUUCGGAAAAGCGGCUCUUAUACCGGAGGAUAUCUUGAACCGCAUGGUUGAAUAGUGAAAUACGGCGUUGGUGGCACUAAUAGAUGGAUCCGAGCCGCAUUAGGUAGUUGGUAAGUUAAAGGCUUAUCAAGGCAACUAUGGGUAGCCGACCUGAGAGGGUGGUCGCCCACACUGGAGGGUGGACGCGGACCAGACUCCUGCGAUAGGCCGCAGUCGGCAAUCUUCCGCAAUGGUCGAAAGCCUUACGGAGCAACGCCGCGUGAGUGAUGAAGGUCUUCGGAUCGUAAAACUCUGUUAUUAGGGAAGAACAAAUGUGUACGGAACUAUGCACGGCUUGACGGUACCUAGUCAGAAAGCCCCGGCUAACUACGUG